AUGGCGCCGCGCAAGUGGUACUACGCUCUCGAGCAGGACGAGGGCGGGAUGCCUUCGUGGGAGCGCUUCCGUGACCUGUGCCUCCAACGGUUCGGCCCGACCCUCCGCGGGAGCCGACUCGCCGAGCUCGGCCGCCUGCCCUUCACCACCACGGUGCAGGACUUUGCCGACCGCUUCCAGGCACUGGCCUGCCACGCCCCGGGCGUCUCGGCGCGUCAGCGCGCUGACCUCUUCGUCGGCGGCCUCCCCGACCACAUCUGCGUCGAUGUCGAGAUGAGGGAGCCCCAGGACCUGCAGACGGCCAUGUACUACGCGCGCGCAUAUGAGCAGCGCGCCCUCGCCAUGUAG
rnacentral:rRNA from 1 species